CCAAAUGGGCCAGUGCAAAUCCUACUUGGAUAACUGUGGUAAUUCCAGAGCUAAUACAUGCAACUGAUAUCCCGAAGGCGGUGUUGGUUCUUGCUUGCCUUGCGCUGGCGCUGCUCUGACGGAUGCUUUUAUUAGACCAAGCCGCUGAGGACUUGAGGGUUCGCGCUCUCUUGUUUGACUCGUGUGAUGGUGACUCUGGAUAACCAAAUUCUGACAAGCGCACGUACUUCUCUUCUGAGCGAGACGGCGCUGCCACUUUCGAGUGUCUGCCUUAUCAGCUAUCAACCGUUCGUUAUGCGCGACCGAUGGCUUUGACGGGUAACGGGGAAUCAGGGUUCGAUUCCGGAGAGGCAGCCUGAGAGACGGCUACCACGUCCAAGGACGGCAGCAGGCACGCAAAUUACCCAAUCCCAGCAAAUGGGGGAGGUAGUGACGAAAUCUAACGAUGCGGGCGCCCUUUCUGGGGCCCCGCAAUCGGAAUGGGCACUUUCUAAACAACCUGUUGAGAACCUACUGAAGG
rnacentral:rRNA from 1 species